rnacentral:rRNA from 1 species
GACGAACGCUGGCGGCGUGCCUAAUACAUGCAAGUUGAGCGCUGAAGGUUGGUACUUGUACCGACUGGAUGAGCAGCGAACGGGUGAGUAACGCGUGGGGAAUCUGCCUUUGAGCGGGGGACAACAUUUGGAAACGAAUGCUAAUACCGCAUAAAAACUUUAAACACAAGUUUUAAGUUUGAAAGAUGCAAUUGCAUCACUCAAAGAUGAUCCUGCGUUGUAUUAGCUAGUUGGUGAGGUAAAGGCUCACCAAGGCGAUGAUACAUAGCCGACCUGAGAGGGUGCUCGGCCACAUUGGGACUGGGACACGGCCCAAACUCCUACGGGAGGCAGCAGUAGGGAAUCUUCGGCAAUGGACGAAAGUCUGACCGAGCAACGCCGCGUGAGUGAAGAAGGUUUUCGGAUCGUAAAACUCUGUUGGUAGAGAAGAACGUUGGUGAGAGUGGAAAGCUCAUCAAGUGACGGUAACUACCCAGAAAGGGACGGCUAACUACGUG